UUCAGUCAAAAACAGAGCAUUAGUGUCAAGAAACUUCCACAAAAAUCUUACAACUUUUCGCUAGUAUAAAUCUUUUGUGCAAGUAAUUUCCGCGUUUGGUUUGGAAUUUAUCUUGGAUGAUAUUAUUUAAAACUAAUUUCAAUGUUUUUACAAUUUAUCCAUAGUUAACAUAUUUUGUAUUUAGUUAUUUCUGCGUCCGCUAUAGAAAUUAUCUGUAGUAAAAACAUUUGCUUUAAUGUCGGCGUCCACUACAGAACUUACUCACGGUAAACACAUUCUGUUUAAGUAAUUUCAAAUCUGCUACGAAACUUAUUCUCUGUAAAAACAUUUCUGUCGGUAAACACAUUUCGUUUAAGUAAUUUCUGCAUCUGCUACGGAACUAAUUCUCGGUAAACACAUUUUGUAAUAAGUAAUUUCUGCAUUGACUAUGGAAUUUAUUGACGGUAAACACAUUUUAAGUAUUUCAUGAGUCCGCUACGAAACUUUUUCUGAUUAAACACAUUUUGUUUAAGCGAUUUCUCUGUCUGCUCCAGAACUUAUCCUCGGUAAACACAUUUUGUUUAAGUAAUUCUGCAUUCGCUACGUAACUUAUUCUCGGAAAAAAACAUUUUAAGUAAUUUCUGCGUCCGCUACGGAACUUCUUCUCAAUAAACACAUUUUAUUUAAGUAAUUUCUGCAUCCGCUACUGAACAUAUCCUCGGUAAACACAUUUUGUUUAAGUAAUUUCUGCAUUCGCUCUGGAACUUAUUCUCGGUAAACACAUUUUGUUUAAGUAAUUUCUGCAUUCGCUCUGGAACUUAUUCUCGGUAAACACAUUUUGUUUAAGUAAUUUCUGCAUUCGCUACGGAUUUUAUUCUCGGUAAACACAUUUUGUUUAAGUAAUUUCUGCAUUCGCUCUGGAACUUAUUCUCGGUAAACACAUUUUGUUUAAGUAAUUUCUGCAUUCGCUACGGAUUUUAUUCUCGGUAAACACAUUUUGUUUAAGUAAUUUCUGCAUUCGCUACGGAUUUAAUUCUCGGUAAACACAUUUUGUUUAAGUAAUUUCUGCAUUCGCUACGGAUUUAAUUCUCGGUAAACGCAUUUUGUUUAAGUAAUUUCUGCAUUCGCUCUUCAACUUAUUCUCGGUAAACGCAUUUUGUUUAAGUAAUUUCUGCAUUCGCUCUUCAACUUAUUCUCGGUAAAAGCAUUUUGUUUAAGUAAUUUCUGCAUUCGCUCUGGAACUUAUUCUCGGUAAACACAUUUUGUUUAAGUAAUUUCUGCAUUCGCUCUGGAACUUAUUCUCGGUAAACACAUUUUGUUUAAGUAAUUUCUGCAUUCGCUCUGGAACUUAUUCUCGGUAAACACAUUUUGUUUAAGUAAUUUCUGCAUUCGCUACAGAUUCAAUUCUCGGUAAACACAUUUUGUUUAAGUAAUUUCUGCAUUUGCUACAGAUUUAAUUCUCGGUAAACACAUUUUGUUUAAGUAAUUUCUGCAUUCGCUCUGAAACUUAUUCUCGGUAAAAGCAUUUUGUUAAAGUAAUUUCUGCAUUCGCUACAGACUUUAUUCUCAGUAAACACAUUUUGUUUAAGUAAUUUCAAAUCUGCUUCGAAACUUAUUCUCUGUAAAAACAUUUCUCUCGGUAAACACAAUUUGUUUAAGUAAUUUCUGCAUCUGCUAUUGAACUAAUUCUCGGUAAACACAUUUUGUUUAAGAAAUUUCUGCAUUGGCUAUGGAAUUUAUUGACGGUAAACACAUUUUAAGUAUUUCAUUAGUCCGCUACCAAACUUUUUCUGAUAAAACGCAUUUUAUUUAAGCGAUUUCUCUGUCUGUUCCGGAACUUAUUCUCGGUAAACACAUUUUGUUUAAGUAAUUUCUGCGUCCGCUACAGAACCUCUUCUCAAUAAACGCAUUUUGUUUAAGCGAUUUCUUUGUCUGCUCCGGAACUUAUUCUCGGUAAACACAUUUUGUUUAAGUAAUUUCUGCAUCCGCAUUGGAACUUAUUCAUGGUAAACACAUUUUGUUUAAGCGAUUUCUCUGUCUGCUCCGGAGCUUAUCCUUGGUAAACACAUUUCAUAUUGUAAUUGCUGUGUCCGCUGCGGAACUUAUCAUAGGUCAACACAUUUUGCUUAAGUACUUAAGUAUAUGCAGUAAGUAAAAUUUUGUCCAGAAUCUUUAACAUUAAGAUGUCAUAACACAUGGUUAUAUUAUUGGUCAAAUGGUAAUAAUGCAAACUGAAAGUCUAGAAAAUGGGAAUCUUUUCCAAUUUGGGAGAUGUUGAAGAUCUGUUAGGGAAGAAUAAUGUGUAUAAAUGGUAUUUAUGAAGGAAAUGGAAAAACAACAGGUAUUAUUUAUUUUCUUGGUUUUGUCUUGUUUCUUUACAGUAAUUUAAAAUAUCUUUUCUUUUUUGUUAAAUUAAUUUUUUUCUUAAAAUGUUUCAAAUUAGUAAAUUAAUUUUUAGGAUGCAUCCCACAACUGUUGAUCGAGGCUCACUGGCGACCCCAUUGAAGGAUUCCGGUGCUGAUAUAUCCGCAAAAUGGGAAUUCGUUAUGGAAGGAUUUCUCUUGAGACAUUGCGCCGGCAGUGUUGAUAGAUUAUGGUUUUUUCAGAGUCAAGAAAGAUGGAAAGGGGAUUCUUUUUUUUUUUUCUUCAUUAGAUCAACCGAGUGUCUGCCAUCCAGAAGUUUUUUCCAGAUUUAUUUCCCUUUGUUUCUUUGGUAGAAUAGCUGGAAGCUAGGCAAAACUCUCAGCUAGCAGGCGUUUUUCUCUAGGUAUCAUGCCCUGAUAUAUCCCUGGUCUGUUGAUCAAGACUACUAUCGAUGAAAUCCGAGGAGUCUGGCAACUUUAUAUCCGCAAGGAGGAAUCGUGUGGGAGUGAUUGUCUUCAAUUCUGAGUCCAGCAGCAUUGUAGUAUGACAUUUGUUUCUGAGUUAAGAGAGAUGGAAAUCAGUGGGUCAUAGUAUGGAAGUGGCCUGAGAAGAACAACCUGCAUUGACCGUUUCUGGAAUAUAGCUUUUGUUUGAGCAGAUAUUUGUUCAGAAAUAUAAUAUAACAUGUCAAUAUUUUUACCUAGAUUUGUUUUUUGGUGCUUUGAAUUUUUGUUUCAGAAUAAAUACAUCACUGGCGUACACAGUAUGAAUACCGUGAGUGUCGACCAUUAAACAGCACUUGGAAGCAGCUUAAUCGGCCUUGAGAGAGUUACCACCCUGCCUCAGACGGUGACGACGAUGCAACCUACAUUAAAAGACUUGAACCAUUACAAAUCUGUAUUUCUUUCUGAUCCAGGGAAGAUACCUCUUGCACAGAAAGUACAGAUCUUGCUGUAGUAUGAUUAAUGGAGGUGCCUUUCACCAACAAAAGCUUGAGUAUUGGAAGAAAAGGAAGAGAUGAUUGUACGUGCACAUGCAUUGGUGUCACAUUUUGGGAAGACUCUAGUUUCACACCUAGUGGAUUAAUAAUUACUUAUGUGAACAGACUAUUAUAUUUGCUUUGAGGGAAUGCACCAAUUAUGAUGACAGUGUUCAUUUACAAACACUAAAGUUAUGGUUUUUACAAGUGGACGUCGCAUACUAUAUAAUUUUACUUAUGGAAAUGAACUUUUAGAAUUUGUAGACAACUAGAAGUAUCUUUUCGGUAGAAGUGAUUCCUUUUUCAAAGCAAAAUCAUCUUUUGUUAAACAGGGAUCCAUUUAAAGCUAUGUAUAGCCUUAUAAAAAAUGUAAAAAGUUAGAAUUGCCAAUUGACAUGCAAAUAGAUUUAUUUAACAAAAUUGUAAAAACCUGUCCUACUGUACUGAUGUGAGUAAUAUUAUGGAUUGGUAAUAUUGAUUGUAUUGAAAGAGUACAGCUUAAAUUUUUAAACUAUAUUCUAGGUUUAAAGUCAAGUACACCAAAUUGUAUGAUGUAUGGUGAAACUGGUGUUUAACCACUAUCUAUUUGACAUUAAAUGUAGAAUUAUAUCGUAUUGAUCUGACUUAGUCAUACCAGGACUUAACAGAUUUCCGUGUUUGUUAUAUUUUGUAAAAUAACAUUAACAACUCCCGGACUGUAUCUAGAUUAAGAUUUCAGUGCAUGUAAUUUGUAUGAAUGUGGACAAUAUUUUGGAAUUAGCAUGAAUGGUUAACAAUGUCAGUCACACAAAAAUUAUCAGAUUUAUUUUUAAAUAUUAAGUGGUAUUCUGGUAUUGACAAUUCUAGUAAAUGCACAAAUUAUAGAUUAUUUAAACAUACAUUAAUUGUAAUUUUUGUUUUGAAACAUUAUCUUGUUAAAACUCUAUCAAAAUUAUACAGGUGUGUCUGUACAUUGUGUCAUAGAUCCAUUGGUGAUGAAUUCUAUUAUAGUUUUGAGUGUGUUUUGAUAUCGGCAGGAAACGUUUUUUGAAACCGAAACAUAAUAUACAUUCUAUUGAUAUACAUAUAAACACUGAUGUUAACCUUCCAGAUUACAAAAAACUUUGUUUAUUUAUUAAAGAAAUUAUAUUAAGAUUCAAAUAAGCCAAAAAUUGUAUAAAUUUGUGCACUUUAUUAUUCCCAAUUUAGGUUUUGUAAGAUAUGAUCUCCAUAAAAACCGUAUUGCAAUCUCACACAAGUUAUUUUUGGUGUCCAUCUUGUAGCUUAUUAUGAUUCAUAUGUUUUUACUGUAUUUUUGUUUCUUGAUGUUGUUAUUUCCUUAGUUUUUCUAUAUUGAUUAAAGGGGCUCCACUGAGGUUUUUUAAUAUAAUUGGACUGAAAAUAUUUUUUCUAGAUAAAUGUACUAUUUGAUGUAGGUGUAAACCACUAAUCUUUGUGCAAAAUUUCAGAUCAAUCGCGCACUUCGUUUUUCCAGAAUUAUUAUUCUUAUUGUAAAAAAGGACCCAAAAUGAAAAGCGUUUAAACACACAAAUCGGGCUAAGAAAAGCAUAAACAUACGAUUUUUAAUUUAUUUCAAAUUAUAUUCCCUAACUAUCUUUGCAUAUAUAUUUCUGUUUAACGUGCCCCAGCUCAUUUAUGUUAGAAAUCCAAAUGUUAUGUUUUUAGGCUUUUAAACCUCAGUGGAGUCCCUUUAAUACUGACAAUACUUAUGUUAAAAAUCUAUAUAUUGUGUUAUAUUGAUACUGUUUGAUUCUGAAGCCUCAUUUAUUAUAUAAUUGUAUUAUUACCUCAUGUUGUCAUGUUAACAUGAUCUGAGUGGAAUAAAAAUAAUGAAAUUUACAUUUGUUGAAAAAUGGAAAACAAUAUAAUGUACAAGUCCUAGAUUAUGGUAUUCUUUUUUUUCUGACACAGGGUGAUAAAUUGAUAUAAUUUUCAAUAGUGUUAUUUAGAAGUUAAACUUACCAAUAUCUCUUCAAAUACAACUCUUUGAUUCUUUUAUUACUCCUAUUUUGUUGUAAGGUUCUGAGGUAUUGGCUUUUGAAAAUAUUAAUAUAAUUCAGUCCUUUCAGCUUAAGUUUUGUAAAUUUAUAUUGAAAUUAAAACCAUCUACACCUAAUUGUAUAGUUUUUGGUAAAGUUUUUAGAGUGAAACCAAUUCUUCAAUCUUGUACAUGCUAGAACUAGAUUGUUAUGUUAUUGGAGUAAGUUGAUAAAAUCUAAAGAUAAUAAGAUAUGUAAUAUUCUUUACAAUACUGCUUUUAAAUUACAUAUUAAUGAUAUAGUUUAUUCUCCUUGGAUGUCAUUUGUUUAAAGCUGUUUAGAUGAACUAGGUAUGUCUGAAUACUUUAUUACCCAAAAAGUAGAUAAUCUUGAUCAUUUCAAACAGACUAUAUGACCAGUUUGUAUUGAAUUGGAAUAAUACAGUUAAUACAGUUUCUCUACUUGUUGUAGGGUUGGUAAGCGAACAUCAUGGAUCCUGAUCAGACUGCGCAGAUGCGCAGGCUGCUCUGGAUCCAUGCUGGUCUCAAACCCAUUAUGUUGGUUUUGUCGUGACGCGGCUCAUAUAUGUUUCACAUUGUUUGAUGAGUGUUUGUAUGCACUAAUAUAAUGGUCCAUGAACCUUUCAUCAUGUUUUUGUUAAUCUUUUUUAAAUUCUUUGUAGUUUUAAUCACAUGCAUCAAAUAUGCCACGAUUAAAUAAAUAAACUCGUAGUUCUUGUUACCUUCCACUCUCACACUUUUUUGUCGAACUAAUUAAAGGCGCUAUUACAGUUAUAUAUAAGUAAAGAAUGAACAAACUUAUGUAAAGUAUAAUAUUAAUUGUUACAAUGAAAGACAUGUAUUGAAUACAUUUAAUUAAAAAAAUUUAGUUUAUUUAAUGAUGAGCAUUAAAAUUUUUGAAACAUUUACUAUUGUAAUUCUUAAAAAUCGUUUGGAGGUAACAAAAUGUAAUUUGUUUUAGCUGUUGUCAAUGGUGAGUUGUUGUCAUUGUCAGCGGGCAUCUGUCCGUUCAAACUUCUCUUUGAACAACAUCUCCUUAACCACCUUGGCAAUAAUUUCAAAACUUCCUAGGAAUAAUUCUUUUAGGUGAUCUUCUUUUAAAGUUGUUAAAAAAGUUAAUUCUGUGCAGAAAUCUAGUUGCCAUGGCAACUGAAAGAAAAA